UACGUAGGGCGCGAGCGUUGUCCGGAAUUAUUGGGCGUAAAGGGCGCGUAGGCGGAUGGCUUUGUCGGGCGUGAAAUUCCAGGGCUUAACCUUGGGGCUGCGUUCGAGACGGGUUGUCUUGAGUGGGGAAGAGGGUCGUGGAAUUCCCAGUGUAGAGGUGAAAUGCGCAGAUAUCAGGAGGAACACCGGUGGCGAAGGCGGGUCUCUGGGGCAACAACUGACGCUGAGGAGCGAAAGCGUGGGAGCGAACAGG
rnacentral:rRNA from 1 species